GAUGAAGAACGUAGUGAAAUGCGAUAAGUAAUGCGAAUUGCAGAAUUUCCGUGAGUCAUCGAAUCUUUGAACGCACAUUGCGCCCACUGGUAUUCCGGUGGGCAUGCCUGUUCGAGCGUCAUUAUCCUCCCUCAAACCCCGGGUUUGGUGUUGGACCGAAGUUGUGUGAACAAUUGGUCUAAAAGACAAUGACGGCGUCCGUGGGACCCUCGGUGCAACGAGCUUUUAGGAGCACGCGCCGAGUUGCAAGGACCUUCCGGGCCGGUCUCCUAUUUAUCAUCAAGGUUGACCUCGGAUCAGGUAGGAAUACCCGCUGAACUUAAGCAUAUCAAUAAGCGGAGGA
rnacentral:misc_RNA from 1 species